AUUGAACGCUGGCGGCAUGCUUUACACAUGCAAGUCGAGCGGCAGCGCGGGGGCAACCCUGGCGGCGAGCGGCGAACGGGUGAGUAAUGCAUCGGAACGUAUCCUCUUGUGGGGGAUAACCCACCGAAAGGUGGGCUAAUACCGCAUAAGCUCUGAGGAGGAAAGCGGGGGACCGAAAGGCCUCGCGCUGGAGGAGCGGCCGAUGUCCGAUUAGCUAGUUGGUGAGGUAAAGGCUCACCAAGGCGACGAUCGGUAGCUGGUCUGAGAGGAUGAUCAGCCACACUGGGACUGAGACACGGCCCAGACUCCUACGGGAGGCAGCAGUGGGGGAAUUUUGGACAAUGGGGGCAACCCUGAUCCAGCCAUGCCGCGUGAGUGAAGAAGGCCUCGGUUGUAA
rnacentral:rRNA from 1 species